AAUAUGGCCAUUUAGAUCCGAAUGUAUUACUUCAAGGAGUUGAGUAGCACAAGUUGUAGCAAUUUUAGGAAAUCUGAUUGCCGUUUGGUUGCCAUGAAUACAUGUGGAGCACAUUCAUUGUGGAAUACGUUUUAAAGUUGUGAAUUCUAGGAGAAGCUGCCAUGCGAUCAAAGAAGUAAUGUUAGGCUUGAAGGUUGAAACUAAGUGCUCAGCCAAAAGAAGUAGCUAUUGUAGUGAAGGAAACACUAAGAAAUUGGUAAUUGUAAGCAUGUCCAAAUACUACAAUGGAUUGGAUGAAAAAUUAUCUAUACCAUUGCCGAAGUGAGUGAUAUUGGUCAUGGAAAAAAUUAUCGGUGAGAAAUCAAUAUCAUCACCUAGAAGAGUGACAAUAUUAGAUUGGAUAUUGUGAUGCUGAAACACAGUGGUGCCAAGGAGAUAAAGACUAUUUUGAAGUGGACAAGAAGCCAAAAGUGAGUCGUCUUGUGUAAGAAGGUGGUACAUCCUAUUUUUUGUAAGAAUGCCUCCGCCUUGUUUAUCAUGAUCACAAACUGAAAAUAAAUUUUUAUGUAGAUUGGAGACAUAAAGGGCAUUAGUGAGAUGUAUAACUAUGCCAUUUAUCAUAGAUAUCUCAACAUUGUAUUUGCCAUAAAUUAUAAGUGUUGUAUCAUCUCUAGGAUGAAUUCUACUUUCAAUAGGUGAAAGUGAUUCAAAAUUCAUGAAUUAUUUUUUAUUAUGAGCCAAGUGAUGUGUGGCUCUAGUAUCAAUAAACCAUUUGUUAUCUUUUGUUGCUCUUGGU